ACGGACCCGCCGCUCCAUGCUGGGGGACCAGAUGCCUCUGUUUACGCCGCUCUCCUCCCAGCCUUCUGCCGGCCGGUCGGCAGCAAGACAGAGCCCGGGAGCCCGUCACUGGGCUUCAGCUGUCUCCCCAGUCUUGUCUUUCAAUAUAUUCUCUCCUCUACCCCUUUUUGUCUCCACACCCCCUUCCCCAAAUGGCCAGAAGGGGUAUCCCUCUUUUUCAAGUUUGACCCAAUAGAACAAAGCGGAGAAAGACUAACCAGGGCGACUUUGAUUCCUGCCAUCCUCGAAACAACACAGUGUUCAAAGAUCAGGCCGGCCCGGCGCGGUGGCUCAAGCCUGUAAGCCCAGCAUUUUGGGAGGCCAAGAUCUGAGAAGUUUCUUGAAGACCAUCAGCAUCUUCAGUGGGCGACUGGAAGAUACACUGUGGUUACCUGGGAGGCAGCCCAGCCUGGACCAGCAACCCAACCUGCUUCUUCAGAGCAAAACAAGAACUAGGAAUCAUCUUUUCACCUGGGAAGGAAUCAAGUAAAAAGCAAAAUUGAACUAAAGGUUGUUUACCUUUCAAACUUGGUGGCCAUGUUGUGAGGAAGCCCAAGUGACAUGAGGAGUUCCCGUGGAGGUGUGCUGCUGACAGCCCCAGGUGAGAGCUCAGCCAAGAAUCAGCACAACACUGUGAGUGCAAACAUGUGAGUGAGUGAGCUUGCAGAGGAUGUGAUCCCACCUAGGAUGUCAGCAUUCAAGACACCCUAGCUGACACUGAGUGAGUAUAGGUGAAGAACAUUUACAACAGUGAUAAUAGAAAACUUGUCAUAAGUUUUUAAUUUGUGCUGUAAUUACACUCUGAUAUUCCCAAAUCUUCAAUAAAAAUCCAUUGUACAGUAAAA
rnacentral:lncRNA from 1 species